GGUGGGGUUCCCGAGCGGCCAAAGGGAGCAGACUGUAAAUCUGCCGUCAUCGACUUCGAAGGUUCGAAUCCUUCCCCCACCCCCA
rnacentral:tRNA from 2 species